AAAUGUGGAUAGAUUUGCCCGAUUGCAACCACUGAAAAAAAUGCUAAAGA
rnacentral:ncRNA from 1 species